rnacentral:rRNA from 1 species
GACGAACGCUGGCGGCGUGCUUAACACAUGCAAGUCGAACGUGAUUUUUGUGGAAAUUCUUUCGGGAGUGGAAAUGAAAUGAAAGUGGCGAACGGGUGAGUAACACGUGAGCAACCUACCUUACACAGGGGGAUAGCCGUUGGAAACGACGAUUAAUACCGCAUGAGACCACAGAAUCGCAUGAUAUAGGGGUCAAAGAUUUAUCGGUGUAAGAAGGGCUCGCGUCUGAUUAGCUAGUUGGAAGGGUAAAGGCCUACCAAGGCGACGAUCAGUAGCCGGUCUGAGAGGAUGAACGGCCACAUUGGAACUGAGACACGGUCCAAACUCCUACGGGAGGCAGCAGUGGGGAAUAUUGCACAAUGGGGGGAACCCUGAUGCAGCGACGCCGCGUGAGCGAAGAAGGUUUUCGAAUCGUAAAGCUCUGUCCUAUGAGAAGAUAAUGACGGUAUCAUAGGAGGAAGCCCCGGCUAAAUACGUGCCAGCAGCCGCGGUAAUACGUAUGGGGCGAGCGUUGUCCGGAAUUAUUGGGCGUAAAGGGUACGUAGGCGGUUUUUUAAGUCAGGUGUGAAAGCGUGAGGCUUAACCUCAUUAAGCACUUGAAACUGGAAGACUUGAGUGAAGGAGAGGAAAGUGGAAUUCCUAGUGUAGCGGUGAAAUGCGUAGAUAUUAGGAGGAAUACCGGUGGCGAAGGCGACUUUCUGGACUUUUACUGACGCUCAGGUACGAAAGCGUGGGGAGCAAACAGG